rnacentral:lncRNA from 1 species
GGAGCCGCCUCGAGAGCCGCUCGCACGCUGGCCGGCUGCGCCAGGCAGGCCUUGCCUCCCCCAGUGCCACCCGCUCUGCUGAACGCCUCGCCACGCUGAGGGCGCCGCCAUCUCGGGGCCAGCUCUGCAGGGCGGCUCCGCACGUCGGGCUUGGCUGCUCUCCCCCGGCACGCAGAGUUUGCCGAGCCCUUUGGCUCAGGAGCCCUUGGCAAGCUCCGGAAUGCAUUCCCCUGGGCAGCGGCACACGCAUCCAGGGCGCUGCCGUUGUGCCCCAUCCCGGGCGCUCCCCGCAGGCUGUGUGUGCCUGCGGGGCGCUCGAUGUGCGGCUGACACCGCCCUCAGACAGCAGGCAGCCGGAGCAAUCGCCGCUGAAGGGUUAGCAGGAGAACGCGCCACAGUCCAAGUCGAAGGCUGAAUUGAGAUACAGGAGUUCAUGCAGCAAGUACUUUGGGUGAGCCUCCUGAAGAAAUACACACCCCGCUAUAAACACGACAAAAAAGAGAGGCAUUUUCUCAAGAUGUUGCAAUGUCAUCUCUGUGCAAGAGCAGGAAAGCAAUGAUCUCACUUAUAUCUAUGGACCACUGUAUUUGUAAGAAACAGUAGUGCCUGCCCUAAUUGAGAUACAUCCUAUUUGGGCAGCCAGAUGCAACAAGAGACAUGGGAACAAACAGUAAACAAUGGUAAUUCACCUGAUUUUACCAGUAACAUCAAUGUCUUAGGCUUUCUUGAUUCACUGGCUGAAAAGCAGGAAACACAACCCUGCACCUGGUGGGAUUCAGCACUGGAGAAAUGCCUGUCUAAAGACUGGAGUUGGGCUUUCCUUUUAUAUAAAUUGAGUAAGUUUACAGGGAAUCUCUUCUUACAGGGAACACACAGAGAAUUCUGUUUCUUUGUCAAUCUCUGA